GACAGCAGGCCAGAGUGGGCUCUACAGUCCCCAGUACAUCUCAUAUAUACCUCAGAUCCACAUGGGACCAGCUGUGCAGGCACCUCAGAUGUAUCCAUAUCCUGUAUCCAAUUCGGUGCCUGGGCAGCAGGGCAAGUACCGGGGUGCAAAAGGCUCACUUCCCCCCCAGCGCUCUGACCAACACCAACCAGCCUCAGCCCCUCCAAUGAUGCAGGCUGCUGCUGCUGCUGCUGGCCCACCCUUGGUGGCUGCCACACCUUAUUCCUCCUACAUCCCUUACAACCCACAGCAGUUCCCAGGCCAGCCUGCCAUGAUGCAGCCCAUGGCACACUACCCUUCACAGCCGGUGUUCGCCCCUAUGCUUCAAAGUAAUCCACGAAUGUUGACAUCGGGAAGCCAUCCCCAGGCCAUCGUGUCAUCCUCCACUCCUCAGUACCCUUCUGCAGAGCAGCCUACCCCCCAAGCCCUUUAUGCCACUGUUCACCAGUCCUAUCCACACCAUGCCACGCAGCUCCAUGGCCACCAGCCUCAGCCGGCCACCACUCCUACUGGGAGCCAACCACAAUCCCAGCAUGCGGCCCCCAGUCCCGUUCAGCACCAGGCGGGGCAGGCCCCACACCUGGGCAGUGGACAACCACAGCAGAAUCUGUACCAUCCAGGGGCCCUAACAGGCACGCCACCUUCUCUACCACCGGGACCUUCUGCCCAGUCCCCUCAAAGCAGCUUCCCCCAGCCAGCUGCUGUGUAUGCCAUCCAUCCCCA
rnacentral:lncRNA from 1 species